rnacentral:rRNA from 1 species
AGACCCGAAACCCGGUGAUCUAGCCAUGGGCAGGUUGAAGGUUGGGUAACACUAACUGGAGGACCGAACCGACUAAUGUUGAAAAAUUAGCGGAUGACCUGUGGCUGGGGGUGAAAGGCCAAUCAAACCGGGAGAUAGCUGGUUCUCCCCGAAAGCUAUUUAGGUAGCGCCUCGUGAAUUCAUCUCCGGGGGUAGAGCACUGUUUCGGCUAGGGGGCCAUCCCGGCUUACCAACCCGAUGCAAACUGCGAAUACCGGAGAAUGUUAUCACGGGAGACACACGGCGGGUGCUAACGUCCGUCGUGAAGAGGGAAACAACCCAGACCGCCAGCUAAGGUCCCAAAGUCAUGGUUAAGUGGGAAACGAUGUGGGAAGGCCCAGACAGCCAGGAUGUUGGCUUAGAAGCAGCCAUCAUUUAAAGAAAGCGUAAUAGCUCACUGGUCGAGUCGGCCUGCGCGGAAGAUGUAACGGGGCUAAACCAUGCACCGAAGCUGCGGCAGCGACACUGUGUGUUGUUGGGUAGGGGAGCGUUCUGUAAGCCUGUGAAGGUGUGUCGUGAGGCAUGCUGGAGGUAUCAGAAGUGCGAAUGCUGACAUAAGUAACGAUAAAGCGGGUGAAAAGCCCGCUCGCCGGAAGACCAAGGGUUCCUGUCCAACGUUAAUCGGGGCAGGGUGAGUCGACCCCUAAGGCGAGGCCGAAAGGCGUAGUCGAUGGGAAACGGGUUAAUAUUCCCGUACUUGGUGUUACUGCGAAGGGGGGACGGAGAAGGCUAUGUUGGCCGGGCGACGGUUGUCCCGGUUUAAGCGUGUAGGUGUGUGUUCCAGGUAAAUCCGGUUCACUUUAACACUGAGGCGUGACGACGAGGCACUACGGUGCUGAAGCAACAAAUGCCCUGCUUCCAGGAAAAGCCUCUAAGCAUCAGGUAACAUCAAAUCGUACCCCAAACCGACACAGGUGGUCAGGUAGAGAAUACCAAGGCGCUUGAGAGAACUCGGGUGAAGGAACUAGGCAAAAUGGUGCCGUAACUUCGGGAGAAGGCACGCUGACACGUAGGUGAAGUGAUUUACUCAUGGAGCUGAAGUCAGUCGAAGAUACCAGCUGGCUGCAACUGUUUAUUAAAAACACAGCACUGUGCAAACACGAAAGUGGACGUAUACGGUGUGACGCCUGCCCGGUGCCGGAAGGUUAAUUGAUGGGGUCAGCGCAAGCGAAGCUCCUGAUCGAAGCCCCGGUAAACGGCGGCCGUAACUAUAACGGUCCUAAGGUAGCGAAAUUCCUUGUCGGGUAAGUUCCGACCUGCACGAAUGGCGUAAUGAUGGCCAGGCUGUCUCCACCCGAGACUCAGUGAAAUUGAACUCGCUGUGAAGAUGCAGUGUACCCGCGGCAAGACGGAAAGACCCCGUGAACCUUUACUAUAGCUUGACACUGAACAUUGAGCCUUGAUGUGUAGGAUAGGUGGGAGGCUUUGAAGUGUGGACGCCAGUCUGCAUGGAGCCGACCUUGAAAUACCACCCUUUAAUGUUUGAUGUUCUAACGUGGACCCGUUACCCGGGUUGCGGACAGUGUCUGGUGGGUAGUUUGACUGGGGCGGUCUCCUCCUAAAGAGUAACGGAGGAGCACGAAGGUUGGCUAAUCCUGGUCGGACAUCAGGAGGUUAGUGCAAUGGCAUAAGCCAGCUUGACUGCGAGCGUGACGGCGCGAGCAGGUGCGAAAGCAGGUCAUAGUGAUCCGGUGGUUCUGAAUGGAAGGGCCAUCGCUCAACGGAUAAAAGGUACUCCGGGGAUAACAGGCUGAUACCGCCCAAGAGUUCAUAUCGACGGCGGUGUUUGGCACCUCGAUGUCGGCUCAUCACAUCCUGGGGCUGAAGUAGGUCCCAAGGGUAUGGCUGUUCGCCAUUUAAAGUGGUACGCGAGCUGGGUUUAGAACGUCGUGAGACAGUUCGGUCCCUAUCUGCCGUGGGCGCUGGAGAACUGAGGGGGGCUGCUCCUAGUACGAGAGGACCGGAGUGGACGCAUCACUGGUGUUCGGGUUGUCAUGCCAAUGGCACUGCCCGGUAGCUAAAUGCGGAAGAGAUAAGUGCUGAAAGCAUCUAAGCACGAAACUUGCCCCGAGAUGAGUUCUCCCUGAGACUUAGAGUCUCCUGA